rnacentral:rRNA from 1 species
UCCAGACUCCUACGGGAGGCGGCAGUGGGGGAUAUUGCACAAUGGGGGAAACCCUGAUGCAGCGACGCCGCGUGAGUGAAGAAGUAUUUCGGUAUGUAAAGCUCUAUCAGCAGGGAGGAAAAUGACGGUACCUGACUAAGAAGCCCCGGCUAACUACAUGCCAGCAGCCGCGGUAAUACGUAGGGGGCAAGCGUUAUCCGGAUUUACUGGGUGUAAAGGGAGCGUAGACGGCAAUGCAAGUCUGGAGUGAAAGCCCAAGGCCCAACCAUGGGACUGCUCUGGAAACUGUGUAGCUUGAGUGCAGAAGGGGUAAGCGGAAUUCCUAGUGUAGCGGUGAAAUGCGUAGAUAUUAGGAGGAACACCGGUGGCGAAGGCGGCUUACUGGACUGCAACUGACGUUGAGGCUCGAAGGCGUGGGGAGCAAACAGGAUUAGAUACCCUAGUA